UAACCCCAAUCCCACUUCCUCUUCGAUUCCGAAGGGGCAGAUUGUUUUUAUCAGCGAAGGAUUCCGACUGCCUUCUUGUAUGUAUACCUCUGGGCAAUCACAAGAAAAACUCCAAAGUUCAGCACACUGAGCGCAGCCAAGAGCCAGAAGAAGUAAUCCAGAUGACCAUAGUUUAAGUUGUCCGGUAUCCAUCCUGGUUUGCCACCCCUAGUGCUGGCUUUUGUGACGAUCGUUACUAAAAAGGAACUCAGAUAGUUGCCAAGUGCGGUGGUGGUGAGCGAUAGAGCAGCGCACAAGCUUCUCAUGGAAUCAGGUGCCUGUUCGUAGAAAAACUCUAGCUGUCCAAUGAAUGUGAACACUUCUGCACAACCUAUUAUGAAGUACUGAGGGAUCUGCCAGAACACUGAAAUUGGAAUCAGCUCUGCGUCGUAUAGGUUAUGUUUCUUCACUAUUCCAAGCCUAACAAUCUCUAGAACAGCUGCAGAUACCAUAGCAAAAACUGAUAUGACCAGUCCGAUGCCCAUUCUCUGCAGCUGGGUCAAGCCAUUUUUGCGACCUGUAAUUUUUCUGGCAAAGGGGGUUAUUAUUGUGUCGUAAAUCGGAACCCAGAUAAUGACACUGAGUGUGUCAAAAACGGUGAGUGAUGCUUCUGGGAUCUCAAAUGAAGUUUUUCCCAAAUGGGUGUCCAUGACUUCGGCUUGUGAUACAAAUAAGUUCCCCAUUUGACCAUAAACGGCACUGAACAUAAUACCAGUGGCCCAAACAGGUAGCAAUCUUACGAUUGAUUUCAGCUCCUCCACCUGUGUCACAGUGCAAAGCCUCCAUGCACUUACUUUUGAUUCAUUUGCAAGAUCUGAUUCUGUCUCCACUGCGGCCUUGUCAAAGAAACUGCAAAUAUAUAACACAACAAUUUUCAUUUAGAAAACUGGGACUGGCAAUUUCAAACCUAAGGAGAGGCAUAAUAGCAAUACAAACUGAAGUAUACUUGGCAAUGCAGUCAUUGCUGCCUCGCCUACAUGCAUAGAGUUGUUAAGGAUGUGUAGACCACUAAUGUUUGAACAGUUUCAAAUCAAAUCUUGACUCUUCUUAAUUUUAGUUUCUUCUGUUUUCUGGUAAACAGCAAAAUUACAAAAGAUACUACCAUCUUUAGUUACAAACUUGGGUGGUUUGAUCCUUUUAUCUUUUCUUUGUGAACAAAAAGACAAAAUACGUUAACUGGAAAGCUGACGAAGCUCAAGGCUUUUUAUCUCAAAGCAUACCUGAAGGAAUCUGUGUGUUCAAGCUUGCGACUGCCUACAAUAGCACUUGUCUCAUCUGCAACCUCACAAAGUUGAGAUUUGUCAGCAGGCAGUGGAACGCUAUGCUUUCUCAAAGAUGCCACCAAGACCUGGCAUAAGCGAGUCAAGGGACUGCCUCCUGGUAUCUGAUAACGGUAGAUUCGGGUACCAGAAAAGAAGGAAACCACUGCUAUUGCCAUUGCCGCAGCAGGUAUACCGAACCCCCAUCCCCACCCGACAUGUAAUUGUAUAUAGACCAAUAAAGAUGAAGCAAUUAGUGCCCCAAUGUUGAUACUGAAAUAGAACCAAUUGAAGAAAGAGCCUUUGAAGUUUUUCUCAGUUUCAUCAGCAUCAUCAAACUGAUCUGCUCCAUAGGAUGAGACACACGGCUUGAUCCCUCCAGUUCCUAGCGCUACCAGGUAGAGUGCUAUGAAGCAGACUGUUGUCUGAGUGCCCGUUGGCUGGCAAACAUCCUUGGCAGAACAGGUGGGUUUUAGGCCUGGGACCGAUGCCGACAAUGUCAAAAGUGUCAUGCCCUGUAACAAAAUUAAAGUCAUUUUAUGACAUCUCAUGAUCAAAACAGAUCCCCAUGCAGCUCAGCUUGGGUUCCACUAAAUAUCAGCACAUAAAGUAUUUGAAAAUUAAAAUUAAUGAAACAAGACAUAUAAACCAAAUACCAUCUUUCACUUCUUUAGAAAAAUGAAGAGCCCAGAGUUUAAACAUUAUUAUAUGCAUGUAUUGGCAAGGGUUGUCAUUCACAUUAAAUUAAAAAAAAAAAAUUUGAGGAGCUAGUUUUGACUCCCAAGACUAGACUAUUGAAAGUCCUGAAUGCUUUGCCUACACCUUUCUGUGAUGACAAAUAGCUUUGUCCUUUGGAAUUUGUUAAAAUGGAAAAAUAAUCAGCGAAAAGUGAAAAACAUACAAUGAAGUAGAUGGUUGAGAAGCUGGCGAUUGUCCAAUAUCUUCCAAGAUAUGAAUCAGCAAGAAAUGCUCCCAGUAGUGGCAUGAUAUAGCAUGUUCCUGACCAAUUCGAGAGAUUUCUUGAAGCAUCAGCAGUGUGCUGAUUGAGUUGCUUUGUGAAGUAGAUCAUCAGAUUGCUGCUCAUUCCAUAGUACGCCAAUCUUUCACUGCAUUCAUUUCC
rnacentral:lncRNA from 1 species